rnacentral:rRNA from 1 species
UACAGAGGGGGCCAGCGUUAUUCGGAAUUAUUGGGCGUAAAGGGCGCGUAGGCGGCCAUGCGUGUCUUCCGUGAAAUCCCUCGGCUUAACUGAGGACGUGCGGAAGAAACUGCAAGGGCUCGAGUCCGGGAGAGGGGGGUGGAAUUCCCAGUGUAGCGGUGAAAUGCGUAGAUAUUGGGAGGAACACCAAGUUGCGAAGGCAGCUCGCUGGGACGUUACUGACGCUGGAGAACGCGAAAGCGUGGGGAGCAAACAGG